rnacentral:tRNA from 1 species
GCAGUGGUGGUUCAGUGGUAGAAUUCUCACCUCUCACCUUCCACGGGGAGACCCAGGUUCAAUUCCUGGCUGGUGCA